ensembl:lncRNA
CUGUGUGUGACAGGCAGACGCACGCCUGGAGGAGAAAAAGGAGACGCUCGCGCAAAAAAGGUUUGAUAUCAUCCGAGCGACACGCGGCCAACAGACAGAGAGCGAAAAGAAAGAAUAGAAUAACGAGACUUGAACCCGAUUCAACAAGCUGAAGGUCUCCACCGACGAAACCUUCCCACUAAUGAGGCACGAGGAGAGCAAGUGGACGGUGGAGGAGACGGGAACAAGAACGCCCUGGGUGACAGGGAGAGACGGGAGAGAUCGGAAAGGAGGGGUGAGAAUGACAGCGGGAGAUGGGAAGGAGGGAGGUAGGGAGGGCGAGAAAACAAUGUGUUAUCAGUGAGACGGACGGACCAGGGAGGAGAGGAUGAAAGAAGAAGCGAGGAGCAGAGAGCGCGGCACGGAUGCACAGACGAUUCGACGAAGAUCCAGUGGAGUUCUUCUUGAGAAAAGCUUGGAGAGGCCUAACUGCACAUUUGCCUUCCACUUCCAUCCUCAUGAGGACCCGACACCGACGGCAGCCAAGUACCGAGCCACAAACGCCCCGGGAGAGAACCGAGCGCCGACGGCGACGGCCACCGAAAUCCUCCAAACUUCACGUGGGCCAAAUCUCUAAAAAAAAAAAAAAGGCAGAACGUACAGC